rnacentral:rRNA from 1 species
CGGGCUAUCAUGCAGUCGAGCGGAUCUUGUCCUUCGGGACAGGGUUAGCGGCGGACGGGUGAGUAACACGUAUCGCAACCUGCCCUCGAGACUGGGAUAACCUCCGGAAACGGAUGCUAAUACCGGAUAUGCAGCCUCUCCUCCUGGAGGGAUCGCGAAAGACCGAGCAAUCUGUCGCUUGGCGAUGGGCCUGCGGCUCAUUAGCUAGUUGGUGGGGUAACGGCUCAACAAGGCGACGAUGCGCAGACAACCUGAGAGGGUGAUCUGCCACUCUGAGACUGAGACAACUCCCAGACUCCUACGGGAGGCAGAAUUUUGGAAUCUUCCGCAAUGGACGCUCGUCUGACGGAGCAACGCCGCGUGAGUGAGGAAGGCCUUCGGGUCGUUUUGCUCUGUUGCCAGGGAAGAACGGGUGGAAGAGUAACUGCUUCCGCCAUGACGGUACCUGAGAAGAAAGCCCCGGCUAACUACGUGCCAGCAGCCGCGGUAAUACGUAGGGUGCAAGCGUUGUCCGGAAUUAUUGGCCGUAAAGCGCGCGCAGGCGGCUUUGUUGGUCCGGUGUUUAAUCUUGGCGCUCAACCCCAAGUCGCACUGAAACUGCAAGGCUUGAGUGCAGAAGAGGAAAGUGCAAUUCCACGUGUAGCGGUGAAAUGCGUAGAGAUGUGGAGGAACACCAGUGGCGAACGCCACUUUCUGGGCUGUAACUGACGCUGAGACGCGAAAGCGUGGGGAGCAAACAGGAUUACAUGCCCUGCUAGUCCACACCGUAUACGAUGAAUGCUAUGUGUUAGGGGUUUCUAUACCCUUGGUGCCGAAGUUGACACAAUCCGCAUUCCGCCUGGGGACUACGCUCGCAAGAUUGAAACUCAAGGAAUU